rnacentral:rRNA from 1 species
AGCGGCGGACGGGUGAGUAAUGCCUAGGAAUCUGCCUGGUAGUGGGGGAUAACGUUCGGGAACGGACGCUAAUACCGCAUACGUCCUACGGGAGAAAGCAGGGGACCUUCGGGCCUUGCGCUAUCAGAUGAGCCUAGGUCGGAUUAGCUAGUUGGUGGGGUAAUGGCUCACCAAGGCGACGAUCCGUAACUGGUCUGAGAGGAUGAUCAGUCACACUGGAACUGAGACACGGUCCAGACUCCUACGGGAGGCAGCGGUGGGGAAUAUUGGACAAUGGGCGAAAGCCUGAUCCAGCCAUGCCGCGUGUGUGAAGAAGGUCUUCGGAUUGUAAAGCACUUUAAGUUGGGAGGAAGGGCAGUAAAUUAAUACUUUGCUGUUUUGACGUUACCGACAGAAUAAGCACCGGCUAACUCUGUGCCAGCAGCCGCGGUAAUACAGAGGGUGCAAGCGUUAAUCGGAAUUACUGGGCGUAAAGCGCGCGUAGGUGGUUCGUUAAGUUGGAUGUGAAAUCCCCGGGCUCAACCUGGGAACUGCAUUCAAAACUGACGAGCUAGAGUAUGGUAGAGGGUGGUGGAAUUUCCUGUGUAGCGGUGAAAUGCGUAGAUAUAGGAAGGAACACCAGUGGCGAAGGCGACCACCUGGACUGAUACUGACACUGAGGUGCGAAAGCGUGGGGAGCAAACAGGAUUAGUUACCCUGGUAGUCCACGCCGUAAACGAUGUCAACUAGCCGU